AACGCACAUUGCGCCCGCCAGCACUCUGGCGGGCAUGCCUGUCCGAGCGUCAUUUCAACCCUCAGGUCCCCCCUCUCGCGGGGGGCGGACCUGGCGUUGGGGAUCGGCCCGCCCCCGCGCGGCGCCGUCCCCCAAAUACAGUGGCGGUCCCGCCGCAGCCUCCCCUGCGUAGUAGAAUACACCUCGCACCGGAGCGCGGCGCGGCCUCGCCGUGAAACCCCCCACUUCUGAACGUUGACCUCGGAUCAGGUAGGAAUACCCGCUGAACUUAA
rnacentral:misc_RNA from 1 species